CUGACUGGGAGGGUUGAUUGUGUGUCUGAUAUGAGAAGGAUAAAGAGCUGACCUCUGAUCUGUGCAGGUUCAGACUGGUUUGUGCUUUGAGCUGUUUGGUUCCUGCAGAGCUGAAGAAGGACGACGGUGGAGCUCAGGAGAGGAGCAGAAAGCUGUUGGACUGCAACAAGUUGAGUGGCUGCAGGUUUUCACCAACAUGGAAAGGAUCCAUCAGAACCCAGGACCAGAACCAGAACCAGGACCAGAACUCAGUCUUCGCUCCAUGAAGAGUUCUCGCUCAAGGGGCGCCGCCAUGUUCUU